rnacentral:rRNA from 1 species
CAAGUCGAACGGCAGCAUUUUCUAGCUUGCUAGAAAGAUGGCGAGUGGCGGACGGGUGAGUAAUGCGCAGGAAUAUACCUUAAAGAGGGGGAUAACUUGGGGAAACUCAAGCUAAUACCGCAUAAUCUCUGAGGAGAGAAGCUGGGGACCUUCGGGCCUGGCGCUUUAAGAUUAGCCUGCGUCCGAUUAGCUAGUUGGUAGGGUAAAGGCCUACCAAGGCGACGAUCGGUAGCUGGUCUGAGAGGAUGACCAGCCACACUGGAACUGAGACACGGUCCAGACUCCUACGGGAGGCAGCAGUGGGGAAUAUUGGACAAUGGGGGAAACCCUGAUCCAGCAAUGCCGCGUGUGUGAAGAAGGCCUGAGGGUUGUAAAGCACUUUCAGUGGGGAGGAGGGUUGACAGGUUAAGAGCUAGUUAACUGGACGUUACCCACAGAAGAAGCACCGGCUAACUCCGUGCCAGCAACCGCGGUAAUACGGAGGGUGCAAGCGUUAAUCGGAAUUACUGGGCGUAAAGGGUGCGUAGGUGGUUUGAUAAGUUAUCUGUGAAAGCCCUGGGCUCAACCUGGGAAGGUCAGAUAAGACUGUUGAACUCGAGUAUGGGAGAGGGUAGUGGAAUUUCCGGUGUAGCGGUGAAAUGCGUAGAGAUCGGAAGGAACACCAGUGGCGAAGGCGGCUACCUGGCCUAAUACUGACACUGAAGCACGAAAGCGUGGGGAGCAAACAGGAUUAGAUACCCUGGUAGUCCACGCUGUAAACGAUGUCAACUAGCUGUUGGUCAUAUGAAUAUGAUUAGUGGCGAAGCUAACGCGAUAAGUUGACCGCCUGGGGAGUACGGUCGCAAGAUUAAAACUCAAAGGAAUUGACGG